GGGACGGGCUGGGGACGCAGCUCGGGCCGCGCAGGCGGGUCCCGGGGGCCGCGGGAGCCGGCGCUCCUCCGGGGAGCGGACGGAGGGGGCCCCAGCUUCCCUGCCCCGCCCAACCGCUCCCGCCUUUUGGACCGUCUUCCCCCCAGGGAGCUCCUCCGCGGGGUCCUUACCGGUGAGCACCCAACUCUUUAAAGGCAUUUCCUGCCAGAGCCCCUGGUAGGGAAAGUGUGACUGAUGGAAGUUUGAACUUCUGGAAGGUAGCGCCCAUAGACCCUUGGAGAGGAGUACAGAACGGGUUUGGUGGCAGAAUCUGGUCUAGACUGUCUCCAGUUCAGUCCUUCCCCAGGAUUCUCAUCUAAUAGUUAGACCCGGAGCUGCGCUACGGAAGCGAGGGGGACACUCCGGAGUCCGCUGUUGGCGUCAGGCAAGUGGAAGGAAGGGCACAAACGGCCGUCCCCUUCCGGAUGUAGCUGGGAAACUGAAGGCUGCCUUGGGAGCUUUCCUAGUCCUGUUUAUUGGUGCUAAUUUUGCCCAGCUGCACCCAGAGCCGGGAAGAAGGGCCAGGUUCUUGGAAGUGGCCGUUGUUGGAAGAGGUUUGAGUUUGCUGAGGGGAGAAGGUAGGAGCACAGGCUGGUCCCCUCUAGGGAUGUCCCCAAUCCUACCAGAACUGACAGUGGCUCAAUGUAACCCUUCUAUCUAGGAUGGGGAGUGGUGAGAUGGCAAGUGAGACACCCCACAUCCUAACUACUUUCCCUUCAGUUCUCCUCUCCUGACCAAAGGCAGGAAGUGCAGUUCUUGGUGCAGUGUGGCCCCCACCCCAUGUUCUAGAAAGACACCCCCCUAGAGCCCUCUUCCCCAUGCCAUGCCUCCUCUGAUGGUCCUAAGUGCCUGUGAGGUCUUCCAGGGGCUGCUGAGGGAGGCUGCGGGGCAGGGAGAGGCCCUUACCUCACUCAAAAGUAGCGCAUCCUGGGAGCUCCUGCCCUGGCUGAGGCCGAGUGUUCUGUGUGUCACCCAGGACCUGGGAGUCCAGCCGAGCCAAUCUCCAGGGGUGGUGAGCCCUUCUUCCAUCACGGUCCCUGUGAUGAACAGGGGGAACCCCCAAUCCUGUCCUCUUUCACUAUGUUAGAAGGAGUGGGAAAUCCGCAAGAAGCAAAACCAGUGAGCACACUCUCGGCCCACAAACGUGCCGGCCGUUCCCAGCUGCUUGCACUCUGGACUGCUGAGACCACUGAGCAAUAACCAGGCCUGGUCCAGGCGUCCAGCCCCUGGGAGGCGGAUGCCCAAGGUGUGGAUGCCUUUGGGACAGACAGGACAGACAAUGCUCUCUCUCGCUCAGUUGAGCUUGGGCUACCGUGGUGGCCUGGGGUCCUCGCUCUGCCCUGGCCUCUUACCCUCCUCUCCUGCCCCGUGGUUGUGCCUCUGCCCUCCAGGUCUCCCCUCAAGUGUGUGUGACUCACUGUACCCCCCUGGUCCUCUUGCCUCCCUUUCAGAGGUGUGUGAGGAAGCCUCUCUCUUCUCUUAGCUGCACUUUCCUGAAGGGGCCCAAAGGACUGUGGGAAGGUGUCUUUCUAAAGCAACCAGCCUAGACCCUGAGCUUCCACAACCACACUUUUGGGGUAAACAGGGUGACUUUGUUAUGUUGAUUCUUCUACAGAGAUGGUGACGAACUUUAGCCACCCCUCCCCCCACCUACUAAAAGCCAUAGCUAUGCCCGCCUGGCCUCCCCCAGCUCUAUAGCAAUAGCCCUUCUCUCCCUUCCCUCCUGGGUACCCAGGGUGUCUAGCCAGGGGGCCUCCACCACACUCCUCCCCCAGGCAGCCUCCAGGUCUGUCUGCCUCUCCCUAAGUGACCCCAUCAGCACCUCCAAAUUCCUAUCCCUCUUCUAGCAACCAGAGAUAAUGACAAUUGUUUGUGGGGUGCUUGGAGGUCCCCCAGAUGAAAGGUCCUAAGGCCUGGGGUGGCUGACUUGCUGACUCUCACCUGAAGAGUUGAGGGUCUGGGAAAGGAAAUAGCCAACCCUCUUCCUCCACUUAGCAAGCUGGGGGAGGGCUUGAGAACUGAGGCAGAUGGAGGGUUCCAAUUUUAACAAAUUCCUCUUCCUCUUUCUUCUAGAAAUAAUGGACUAAAGCCUUCCCUCUAUCCACCUGCCCGUGGGUUUGGAACAGAACUGUCAGUGCAGCAGAAUGGGACUGUAGCCUGCCCUUGACCUAGAAGCCCAAAAAUCUUUAGCCUCCAGCUCUCUCCCUCUCCUAGCCUGGGGGACCCACCCUGCCAAAGGAAAGACCUCCUCCCAUAAGCCCCUGGAAUGUAUGGGUGACUAGAAGGGAAAGGACUGCGUCUACCACCUGCUCUUCCCCUCUGCUCCGCAGCACGAAUCCCCACUGAGGGAGGGGCAUGUUGACAAGAAUACUCAGGGGCCCCACAGUGGAGUUCCAGCCACACCCCAAGUGUGGAUAGACCCAGGAAGGAGAGCUGCAAGUGGGGACCCCUCUCUGUUCUGGAAGCCAGCAAGGGACCAGUGGGCAAUGCAGCAUGAGGCUCUAUACCCCUGCCCCUGCAUAUCCUACCCAAGGUGGCCUGCAGUUUGGGGGACCACUCCCGGGCUGAAAUGGGGUUGCCCUUCCCCAAACCAGCAGCAGAAUAGAGGUCUCCCCAUGGAGAAGAAGGAGGCCAGGGGGGUGUGGAGCAGCAUCUCCUUAGUGCGGAGAGCUGGAUAUCUCUACGCACCCUCUCCCUGAGGUGCCAGCCUUGAAUAGGGGACAUUCAGGGCUUCCAAACCACCUGGCAGGAGCCCCCUUGGUGGGGCAGAGGGGUCCUGCUCCAAAUUCUCUGUUGGCUGCGCUUUUUAAAUCCAAUGCUUUUUCAGAGUGUAUUCACUCACCUACAGAAAUAGAGCCCUGUGCUUUAGGGGUGACUGUCAUAUGCCUUAUUCUUAAUAAAAUAUCUGAAAAACACA